rnacentral:rRNA from 1 species
AACGAACGCUGGCGGCAGGCUUAACACAUGCAAGUCGAACGCCCCGCAAGGGGAGUGGCAGACGGGUGAGUAACGCGUGGGAAUCUACCCAUCCCUACGGAACAACUCCGGGAAACUGGCGCUAAUACCGUAUACGCCCUACGGGGGGAAGAUUUAUCGGGGAUGGAUGAGCCCGCGUUGGAUUAGCUAGUUGGUGGGGUAAAGGCCUACCAAGGCGACGAUCAAUAGCUGGUCUGAGAGGAUGAUCAGCCACAUUGGGACUGAGACACGGCCCAAACUCCUACGGGAGGCAACAGUGGGGAAUAUUGGACAAUGGGCGAAAGCCUGAUCCAGCCAUGCCGCGUGAGUGAUGAAGGUCUUAGGAUUGUAAAGCUCUUUCACCGGAGAAGAUAAUGACGGUAUCCGGAGAAGAAGCCCCGGCUAACUUCGUGCCAGCAGCCGCCGUAA